GUUUAAUUAUAAUAAAUUGAUUUUUAUUAUUGUUGUUGAUAUACAACAACCCGAGUAACAAGCCCAUUAAUUGAUCGAAUUGGAUUAAGAUAAUUAACUAUACUAACACACUAAUUAUUUAUAAAUUUAGGAAAAGGGUUAUUUUUUCUUCAGAGUAAAAGCUUUGGUCAACUGAGCCAAUUCAGUCAACCAAGCCAAAUUUGGUCAACUUAGCCAAUUCAGCCAAAUUUGGUCAACUGAGCUAAAUUUGGUCAAUUGAUGUCAGUUUACGAGACCGAUUUGUGGGGGUUGCAAAGGAGAAGUAUUCCUGUGCAGUCUCCAUGGCGCGUCUUUUGUGUGGAUCAUUAUAACCGGCAGAGCACAUUUAACAUGAUUAUAUAUCUUGACCAUAGAGCCACAUGGAUGGUGGCGAUAGAGGUUGGAGCAUGUUUAGUGGUCUAUUGCAAUCAUUUUGAUCACUACUGUUCAUAAGAUAUUAUGGUGGAAACGAGCACAUCGAUGAACUGGAAACACUUUGUCAAAAGAUGGCCUUAGCAGCGUUUCACUUGGAUGAAAAUAAUGUUCAACUGUUAUCUGGUUCACCUGCUAAUUUUGAGGUUUAUAGGCUGUUCUUAAACCCCAUGACCGCAUAAUGGGACUUGACUUGCCUCAUGGGGGACACUUGUCUCAUGGAUUCAUGAGACCCAAACGAAGGGUUUCGGGAACAUCCAUAUAAUUUGAAUCGAGGGAGGAAGUGCUUGGGAAGCCGUUGAGUUGAGCCGAGAGACACGAGCUUGUUAAACGACAUGUUUCGAGUAACCGACAGGUUAAUCUUGGAAGGGAUGGGUUAACACAUAAUAUGUUGGAGCAGAUUCUUUCGCAUUGGCGAAGGGAUCCGGUUUGUAAGGUGCGGUGUCUUGGCGUUCCGACUGUUGACAUGCGAAACCUCUAUCGCGUUUUGCAGGUAGCACAUAUAGUAUAAAAGUUUGUUGGGCUAGAUGGUAAAACUACUGAGAAAAGGAGGGCUAUGCUGAAACAUGUGGCAGAUUUGGAGGGUUGCAACUGUAACUGGGCUCUACGUGCAAGGGACUAAGGAGGUAUAUAUUAAAUGAUGUACCACACUUAUGUAUUUCAUAUGUUUUUUAGUUUAGACCAUAGAGUGUUUCCUGUUAUAUUGAUUGUUAUCUGCAAGUAAUAUAAGAUUAGUUACCUGCAACUUAGAGCCAGGUGGUUUGUGUUUAUGAGUAUAAGUAAUUUUUUAUUUCAGUUGCAUGUUUCGUUGUUGUAGUAAUACUAAAUAGUUGAUAUCUACAUAAAUAGGUCCAAAAGUUUGGGUAAUCAUUCUUCUUGGUAGUUCGAAGGGUGAUGCACAAAGUUAAAGUAAUGAUACACAAGAAGCCUUCUUUCUCAAAACCUUCUUUCUAAUCAAUUUUGAUAUUGUUUCCAGCUUCAUAUUUCACUUUUUGAACUCAUAAUGUGCAGGUGAAAGUUUGCAUUUCUGUCUUUAGGGCGUUGUUAAUAUUUGCUUUUUGUAGCCAUACUUGGAUGCUUCAAGGUUUGUG